AUGGCCCAAAGUCACCUUGUCUGGAGCAGAGUCAGCAGGGCUGAUCCAUGGCUCUCUGAGGACAGAUUCCAGCCAGGGCAGGUUUUUAUGAAGAUCUUUUCUUCUACUGGUGCUGGGUACCACAGAGCUCCCAGCAGCCUUCAGCUGCCACCUCCCCACAGCAGCCUCCUCCCAAAGUCACCUCUCACCUGGACUGUUGCAAUCGGUCAUCUUCCCUAUAUCUUCUCCCCUCUCCAAACCAGUUCCCACACUGCAGCCGACAUUAAACACUUAAAGAAUAAGUCUGACUGGUUCAUGGCACCUCUGCUUGAGACUCCAAUGACUCCCUCUUGCCUCAGACUUGUGUGCUGUAGCCUAGGCUGUCCUCAUGCCCAAAGCAUGGAAAUCCUGUCUUCAUAUCUGCUUCUUGCAACCCAGGUUCCCUUGUGAUGGAAUUCUACUGUGCUAUAAGAAAUGACAAACAGGUUGGCUUUAGAAAAAACAUGAAAAGACUUGCAUGAAAUCCUGCAAAGUGAAAGGAGCAGAACCACGAGAAUGUAAACAGCAACAGAAAUAUCAUUCGAAGAAUUAUUGUGAAUGACUAAGCUAUUCUGAGUAAUUGAAAAUAUAAAUCAGCUAUGAAGGAAAAUGCAAUCCACAUCCAGAAAAGAACCGAUAGAGGGAAAUAGGCAUUGCACGGUUCUACUUAUUUAUCCAUAUCAACUGCUGACCUUCUCUAAUGUGAGGCUGGAAGGGAGGGAACUCGAAAUGUAACCAAAAUAUUUUAAUUUAAAAAAAGGAUUCAGCCUUCCUUCAGGGCUUAACUCAGUUCUACUUGAAGUCUUUCCUGAUUCUCCAAAGCUGCUAGUAUCUGCCCAUCUUUCUAAUGUUAUUUUACAUUUAUUUUGCAUUUUACUCAUCUGUGUCCAUGCCAUUUCCCCCAAAUAGGCUAUAGUAACCUCGAAGAGAGCAAGGGAUAUUUUUCAGGAAUGUCUGAGAUCAGAUUUGAACCUUGGUCCUCCCAACUCCAGGUCUGGCUCUCUAUCUCCUGAAUCACCUAGCUGCCCCUCACCCCAUAAAUAUUGAUAGAGGCAACUAGAUGACACAAUGGAUCUUUUUCCUUUGGCCCUAAUAUUCCUAGUGCUUAGCCUAUAAUGCCUAGGAGAUUUUAGGGAGGGAUCUAGACCUGUGAUUUCAUUUGUAAAGCUAUUGAAUAACCAAGAAGGGACUAGAAUACUCAUUUCUUAAAUUCUAGUCCCAUACAUAACUCUCUGGAGUUUGGAGGAAGAAGGAUCAUUUUGUUAUCCAAACUAGUCACAAAGUAAUCAUUGCUAUUCUUUCUUGUUUGCUCAUCAUGGCAUAGAUCCUCUUUUGGAUUGUUUCAGCAAGGAGUUCCUCUUUCCUGUGCCCAUCAAUAAAUAUAUAUGCAUAUAAAUAUGUAUGUGUAUA
rnacentral:lncRNA from 1 species